rnacentral:sRNA from 2 species
GCAAACCUGGGACGUCCUUGGCCGAAUUCCUCGUGAAAUUGAAGCAUGCCGGAUCAGGAGAUAUGAGAUAAAGCUCCCAUCGUAUCGGUUCAUCCCUGCGGACUUUAGAAAUAUCAUACAACUUAUAGGUAGUCAUUGUCCUCGCAAAUAUCGCGACAACAGCUAUGGAUGUGGGGCGUAUGGCAUCGAUGCAUCUUACCCAAAUUUCUCUCCAAUUACAACGAGCUCUACUUGGCAAAAACUACGUAUGACCUUAGCAACAACUUUAUCGCAGGCUUAUUCGAUGAAUCGCAAACAGACACACGAUAGUUUGGCAUGGUCCUAGCCGGUUCGCGUCAAGUGCCUGAUGUGCAUUUCCGCUUCGUUCGGGAAUUUCCUUUCGUCUACGAAUGUGCUUCCGUAAUAUUUUUCGGAAUUAACAAAAACUUACACCAACAGACG